rnacentral:tRNA from 3 species
GCGGGUAUUGUAUAAUGGUUAUUACAUUAGCCUUCCAAGCUGACGAUGUGGGUUCGAUUCCCACUACCCGCU